GGAUGACCGAAUUCAAAGCGAUGGAGCAAGAUGAGGUCACAUGAUUAUUGUUGCCGAUCGUAGCAAGGAUUUUAAUGGAGGUUGCACAGCAGAAAGGAGCGUGGUCCUAUAGGGCUAUCUAUUGAGCUCUUGUUUAGGGUUUGGGAAGAAC